CCCAACCUCAAGGAUGAUUUGAGAGCCCCAGACAUAACAAGCAAAGGUUUUUUUCACUGUAAGGGUUCUCUCAUGAAGAAGAUAACUGGGCUGAGGAAGUCACACUUUCCCUCCUGGGAGAAAGUGUUGACAUACCUCAGAUGAGUAGGAGCAGGGUCAGAGAGCCUUCAAUGCUGAUAGACCCAGUGCUAAGAGGCGUGAAAACUGCUCCAAGGAGAGAGCUUCAUGUGGACCACACAGCUUCUUGCAGAACUGGUUGGUGAGCGUUCCCUUCACUGGCACUAGCAUAUCAUCUCUGAGUCGCUACGCAUACAAAUCCAUCACCCUAUAGCCAACCUGGUGACAACCCUCUCCAAAUUGGACUAGGCUGGUCCUCAAACAGACAUCUUCUCACCAACUGGAGCUGAGGGCAUGUCCUGGAAGACUCCAGAACUCCCACCCUGGGAGGGUCUGACUGGCAAGGGCCUCAAAUAUCCAUAUCAGUGGUGGGCCAUGCUUUACUUUCUUACCCUACCACCUUCUCAACAGCUGCCUUGCUGACACUCAGGUAACUUCUCCUCUACUCCCCUUUCCAGUUCCAUACCUAUAAUGAA